GAAAAAAAAAAAUUUUUUUUUAAAGCCUGCAAUUCAGAAAUUGGAGAACACCGUGGGUCUUAAGAGUCGGGUGUGGGAACACAGAGGAAGGCUGGGUACACUUCACAGGAAAUCUACUGUCUGGCCUUGAAGUUUAGGGGUUGCUAACUGGGAGACGUACGGGGGGACUAAGAGAAAUUCAGAAGGAGAAACAGCACACAGAGGGGCACAGAGAGACUCAAGGGAAGUACAGAGGCCAGAACAGUGCAAGUCCACUGGCAGAGCGGUAGGAAGAGCCAAGGAUUAGCAAGAGAGACCUGGGCUCUUGAGGAGAACACGCCAAGAGGCUUGUAGUUCAUCUCAGUUAAGUCACCGAGACAGGCAGGAAGUCAAAUAUUUACCAAGAACCUUCUAUGAGCCGGGCAAUGUGCGAGUUGCCUGGGAUAUAGUGACAAGCAAAAGCAACAAGGUCUUUGCCCUGCCCUCCUGGAGGGGGUGGUCGUGCUGGGGAUAAACCUACACAGAAGGGUCGACAGCGAUGGAGAUAGGAGUCGGGAGCUAUGGGGACACAGCUGAGGUUGCCCGGCUGCAGAACCGGCGGUCAGCGCGGGAGGUGAUGCCUGAGCGGAAUCUGAAGGAACACUGAGGAGUUGGCCAAGCGAGUGGGACAAAGGAAGAAUGCUUCUGUCUAUUCAGAGAAAGUCGAGCAGAUCAAUGAGUGCCAAGAACAAGAGGCUGUCAAAGACCAAAUCAGAGGGGAGGAGGCAACAGCUGCUGGAUGGAUGGGUCUAACGAAUGUGGGAAAAUCCGAGAAUCUUGAACAUUAUUGAUAAAAUAAAAACUCCUCAACGUCUA